GGCUCAGUUGUCUAAUGGCAUGACAUCUGCUAGAUAAGGCUACAUCCUGUGAAGUGAAAGCAGGGCUGAGGUAUGAGGUGGGUGAUCUGGGUUCGAGUCCCAGCUGAGCCA